rnacentral:lncRNA from 1 species
CGGCUCGCCUGCAAUUGUGCCGUUGAAACGAUAUGUUGAUGAUCAUUUUUUCCUUUUGUUAAUAAUAAAGUGAACCGUUCAUGCGUCGCGACGCGAUUACUUUCAGUCGCGAUUUAUUGUCAGAUAGGGAUGCUUGUUGACCUUGGGAGUUUGAAUGCCUGGUUCUUUUACUUUGUUCAAUUUCAUCGUUUCUGUACGGAUGUAAGGUGUGCGUACAAUAGUGUUGAAUUAUUCAAGUCGCUGUACGGAAUAUCAAGAUCGGCACGUCAAUGACACAUGAUAUUCACGUGUACCACACGUAGGAGUCAUGCUCCUGCGGGAUCAGUGUGUGGCAAGAAGCUGUUCGACUGAAGAGUUUUCGCAUCAGUUCUUCGGCUAGACGUAGCCGGACUUAACGUCGCGUUGUUAGAACGCUGAACGUUUAACAACAAGAGUUUUCCUCGCCGUUGGGAGCGUUAUUCGCAAAUUUUUCCGUGACCCGAGUCAGGACAACGGUCAACGGUCAAGGAAAAAGAUUAUCGCCAUGGUGAAUUCAAUAACGCGACUGGCUGCAGCUGUAUUGUCUAUCGCUGCAUUUCUAGUCUCUGAAGCAGUAUCGUUUCAGAUGCACUGGAAGAAAACUGCACCGACUUCCAGGGUGGCACAGUUAGACAUGGCCUCCUCUACGUACCAGGUCCUGCGGUAUGCAGCUUGUGCGUUUGCUACCAUUCCGAGCCGAUGUGGUGCAA